GGGAGGCUAUAUACAGGGGGUACCGGUACAGAGUCAAUGUGGAGGCUAUAUACAGGGGGAGCCGGUACAGAGUCAAUGUGGAGGCUAUAUACAGGGGAUACUGGUACAGAGUCAAUGUGGAGGCUAUAUACAGGGGGAGCCGGUACAGAGUCAAUGUGGAGGCUAUAUACAGUGGGGAGCCGGUACAGAGUCAAUGUGGAGGCUAUAUACAGGGUAUUAUGGUACAGAGUCAAUGUGGAGGCUAUAUACAGGGGGUAGCCGGUACAGAGUCAAUGUGGAGGCUAUAUACAGGGUAUUAUGGUACAGAGUCAAUGUGGAGGCUAUAUACAGGGUAUUAUGGUACAGAGUCAAUGUGGAGGCUAUAUACAGGGUAUUAUGGUACAGAGUCAAUGUGGAGGCUAUAUACAGGGGGAGCCGGUACAGAGUCAAUGUGGAGGCUAUAUACAGGGGGGAGCCGGUACAGAGUCAAUGUGGAGACUAUAUACAGGGGGGUGCCGGUACAGAGUCAAUGUGGAGACUAUAUACAGGGGGGAGCCGGUACAGAGUCAAUGUGGAGGCUAUAUACAGGGGGGAGCAGGUACAGAGUCAAUGUGGAGACUAUAUACAGGGUAUUACGGUACAGAGUCAAUGUGGAGGCUAUAUACAGGGUAUUACGGUACAGAGUCAAUGUGGAGGCUAUAUACAGGGUAUUAAGGUACAGAGUCAAAAUGGAGGCUAUAUACAGGG
ensembl:lncRNA